rnacentral:lncRNA from 1 species
UCGCUGCUGCUGAACAACCCCGGCGCGAUGGCGAGGGCUCGCGGCGAGAUCGACGCGUGCGUGGGGCAGCCGGCGGCGCGGCUACUGGAGGCGGCCGACCUCCCCAAGCUGCACUACCUCCGGUGCGUCGUGAUGGAGACGCUCCGGCUGUACCCGCCGGUGCCGCUGCUGGCGCCGCACGAGUCGUCCGCCGACUGCGUCGUCGCCGGGUUCCACGUCCCCCAGGGGACGAUGCUGCUGGUGAACACGUUCGCCAUUCACAGGGAUCCCCAGGUUUGGGAUGAACCAGAAGCCUUCAUCCCAGAUAGGUACUGUACUAUUUCCCCCUCCGAUAAUACUCGUUGGUUUUUUUUAAAAAUAACAUAAUCUAAAAACAAAUUUAAUCACUAUUUUCUAUUCUAAUAUAUAUAGAAAAUAUAAAGAAAUUUAUGGUUUUUAUUGAAGUAGGAUAUCUAUAUUUCUAAGACAAUACUUUAGAAAUUAUUUAUAUUUAAAAAUUUUAAAGUUUGAUAUUAAUCUAUAUAUAUAUAUAUAUAUAUCACAUAUAAAUGUUCUUUUCAAGUUUCAUCAUGUUCUUUACAUUUACUAAAAUUCAUUCACAACUUGUUAUGAACUACUAAGAAUAUAUCUUAACAGGUUUGCGGAUGGAAAAAACGAAGGGAAGAUGGUGAUCCCGUUUGGUAUGGGGAGACGGCGGUGCCCAGGAGAGAAUUUGGGGAUGCAAAUGGUAGGACUUGCCCUUGGGACAUUGAUCCAGUGUUUUGAUUGGGAAAGGGUUGGGGAAGAGCUGGUUGACAUGAGGGAGUGCUCUGGCCUUACAAUGCCAAAGGAGUUGCCUCUCGAGGCCCUCUAUCAACCUCGAGCUUCCAUGGUUGAUCUUCUUACGAAGAUUUAGUCAGCACCAUAAAAAAUAAUUUGUUGUUCAACUUUUGUAAUGUAAGGAAUAAUCGGGCAAGUGCGGUUUCAAAGAUAAUUGGGCUGUUCAUCUUCUUUAAAUUUCCAAGAUUCACCUCUACCAAUUGUGGCUUUGUCAACUAGAAAAUUCUGGCAAGUACUUAAGUGGAUCCUAUUAUCGUGGCUGGCUGGCUGCAUACAGUAUGGAUAAUCUGUGUUAUAAGGGGGAUGGGGUAAUCCGAAUAUGUCCUGAACUUAUCUAAAUCUGUCAAGCACGUUGAAUUAUUAAACUGAGAUCGAAUCACUACAGCUCGCCUCCCUUCCUAGGCUUGAGAACCUUCCUAAGCUCUUCGGUGUUGCGCCGAUGACAUCAACCUUUGGUCGCACAGAUGCUUGGACUGUAAUGACAAGCAAGUGAGCAACAGCUUGUCAACUGGGCAAACGAACUCUAUGUAAAGAUGGAACCCCGGCUGGAGUUUACUAUAAUAUUAAGUAAAAAUAAUAUGUAAGAUUGCUUAAACAACAUAAGUUUACACAAACAUAAAAACAUAAGUUUAUAUCAUUCGAUGUGAUUUAAAUUUAAAUAGUAUGUAAGAUGAUGAUUCAAAUAGAAAAGUAAGCAGUGGCGGAGCUAGGAUUUCAAAGUUGGGUAUUCCCGUCUAAGCGCUGAGCCGUUGCCCGUCCCUGCCUCUCGCGGCCGCCGGCCACCCAACCGACCUGACCGCCUUAGCUUGGCGGAGUGUCGGGCGCUGCCCGCCGUGGCAAUGGCCUCCCCCUCCACGGUAGCACGGUCUAGCUCCCGCCGCCGAUUGCUGUCUCGCCGCGCCGCCACCUAGGGUUUGCAAAUGGGGAGUGGCGCGAGGGAGCCGAGCUAGGGAGGGAUGGGUCAUGGAGGGAGAGCGAGAGGGGGCUGUCUGGAAAAGUGGUGGCUAAGUGGGUCAAUUGAUGUCUGAUGGGUCAUGAUGGAGUGGGUCGGGUUGGUUGGAGGCAUCGCAAGAGACUAGUUGGGCUGUGUUUGGAUAAAAGAGUUGAGGAUUUAGGUGUACAAAUAUGUGUACAUGUGUAUAUAUUAGAAGUAUACUUAUUUUUUGAUAAAAAGUGUUGGGUAUUCCCGGGAAUCAUGGUGGCUCCGCCACCGAAAGUAAGAUGAUGUGGUUUUAUGAAAGAACAAAAGAAGAAAGAUAAUUUAGACCAUAUAUCUAAGGGCUAAAAAAUUGAGAUGAUAUGGUUUAAUGAGAGAAAAAAAAGAUAAUUCGAACCAUAGAUUAAUCAUCUAAAGACUAAAAAUAAUUAAUGUGAUAUAACUUAAUGAGAGAAAAAAAAUAGCAUAAACUAAGUGAGAAUGAACUAUAUAGGUAUAUAAGAUAGCGAGGACGCUCAGCAACCUUCUGGUGCCAAGGAGUGAUGUUGCAUACACGAAGAAGAAAGCAGAUCACAACAUAUGCUGAGAAGCAAGCUACAACUGAACCUUUGAUUGAACAGCAACAGCUAGCAUCAAAUAGAUGCAUAUUAGUAUUAUUAUUCAGUAUGUAGAAGUACGAUUGACACUAAUAUAGACAUGAGAAGUUGCUGCUACUAGAUAGAUGCAUGGCUUUUGUUCAUCUUUCCCUUUUGUUCAGACUCUUUGGAGUUUUAGUAAGAGCAAUUUUCUGUAGCUGAAAGGCUACGUGAUAAUGGUAUGCUUCGUCAGGCUGUUCUUGGCUAAACCUCGAGGAUUCUUUUUUCGAGGAAAGAGGAUUUUUUUAAUCGCUCUACUUUCUACAUGCCGAAUAAAUUUUCUGGAUGAAAGCCACCAAUUUGGAGCGCUUGCUCAUGAGAGAAUGUAGCAUUGUUGGUAUUUGGUCACAUAUAAAUUAAUCUGUAAGCGCACGGAUACCACUAUACCACCACUAUAAGUAUGCCAACGGUAUCGAAUCACAGGAUAUGUAUGUGUGUAUAUUUAAGAAAUAAUUCAACCAAAGACAACAAUGAAUAGUAAGCUUAGGAUAAAGAGGAUUCAUAUGAAUUAAUUAACUCUAACAGGAGUUAAUCCUAUCGAAUGCUUCGGGUAACGGCUCUCCCUUGGUCUACCAAGACGAGUCCGCCAUGUAGCUCUAUGAUAUACCUAAACGUGGAGAGAUACAAGGGACUGACAGAGCUAUCACCAUCUACCGCCUACCUCACUUUCUAUAGAGCACACAAUAAACGAAGGUAACCUUUAACCUAGACACUACGUAUACGUUAUUAAUUAAUUACUACUCUAGCCUCGGGCAAAAAUCUUCUUCCUUAUCUAGAGUCUUUGUUCUAGAGCACUCAGUAUAAACUAAGCGGCGAAACCACAACGAUGAGAAUAUAUCUGACUUAAGUAAGUAAACUAAAUACUAAAAUGAUAUCACAAAUAACUUAUAUCGAAGAAACAUUCUCGAGAUACAAGAUUGGAGAGAGGACCAACAACUCUGGCGCUCCUUCAGAACUAUCCCGAAUGUAGGCCAACAUCUCUAGAACAUCCCAGAGAGAAAGCCGCCAUUCGGGCACUCCUUCCGAAGCUUCCCCUCACUCUCUUCCUAUAUUAGAACUCUACUAUAGAGUAGACUAAAUGUGUAAGUCAGUUGUACUUCACUUGUUGUGCCAUUUGAGAUUUAGAUGAACACAUCCUUUUAUAGGGCAGUUAUGGUGGUUGUGGACAUCGGUUUCACCCACAACCGUCAUUGAGAGUGAACAUUAGCCCUCCACAUGGAAGCAGAUGGUGAGGGGCGCCAAUGACAGUUUGGCCGAACUAGGAGUUUGGGCGACCCUUGGAUUCACCGUCUUCACCAAUGCAUGGCCCAGAUGAAGUCUUGUAGUCGGUGGGAAACUCCAUGUGGAGGUGGGAAUGAGCGGCCGUAAAGGUGGUUCGGGAAGCUGCCUGGUGGGUCCUUGCGGCAGUGCACGGUGAUUAGCCCUUGAAUAUGUCAGUUAUGCACUGAUUUGUGGGCCCUCCAAUAUGUAUACUCGCGUCCUAUUAUACGGAGGUGUAUUCCAUCGCAAGGUGGGUAAUUUUCAUCCAUAUUUCACCUGCAUACAAAUAUUCACCAAGACUUGUGGAAAUGGUUAGUAAUAAUAACUACCUCUAAGUUUGUCAUUUUAUUGUAUUCUUUCAUUGUUUUUAUUUAGGAAUUGAUAGUCGAAUUUGAUAUUUAAGGACCAUCAAUAAGCUCUAAGGAUGAGCGGAUAGCAUCGGUUACAGAAUGUACUUUUCCCUAUCUUACCCCUAUGAAAUCAAUGACCAGAUUCGAUCGGUACCUGGUACCUCGUGGUACCUUCUUUAGGAUUGUAAAAAUUCAUCUACAUUAAAAGGAGAGGCAGCCACCAUCGGUUGGGCUCUGGGAGGCCACCACUAGGGCCAAAGACUAGGUGGGGGAGGUGAAGAGGUGAGCCCUGCCUCGACUAGGGAAAUACUCCCCCAUCCCAAAAUAUAAGUAUUUUUGGAUUUUUGACACAGUCUUUAAGAUGCUACUUUGAUCAACAAUAUCUAUAAAAUAAGAUAUUGUAAAUAAAAAAAGUUACAUAUUAUGAUAGUUUGUUUAAUGUUAAAGCUAGUAACAUCAAUUUUUCAUGAUUAAGUUUUUUUUAUUUUUUUACUAUUGAUAGUCAAAGUUAAAAAUGUUUGACUUGACGCCGCUAGGGAGAACGUCGUUUUGCUGCAUUGGACCUAGCGUCCUCUCAAUUUGACACCAAAAAGCAUGCAUGCACCCCACUAUUCAGGUGAAAUCUUCGGGAGCAAACAUACCGUGGGCCUGUUCGGUAUGCUGGCUACGGCUGUGGCUGUGACUAUAGCACUGUUGAUGUCGACAAGUAACAUCAUACUAAUAAUAUCACUACUCAAAUACUCGUUCCAUCCCAUAAAAAACAAUCUAAUACCGGAUGUGAUAUAUCCUAAUAUUACGAAUUUAGAUAUAAUAAAUAUUAAUAGUAUUAUGAUGUGUCACAUCAGUAUUAGUUGGUUUUUAUGGGACAUAAAGAGUACUCCAUCCGUCCCAAAAUAUAAUAAGUUUUAGAGUUGAAAACGGUUACUAAGAAAGUAGAUAGAAGUGAGUGGUUGAGGGUUGCGAUUGGAUGAGUAUGGGAGGUAGGUGGAAAAAGUGAAUGGUGGAGGGUUAUGAUUGGUUAGGAAGAGAAUGUUGGUGAAGAAGUUGCUAUAUUUUAUGAUAAAUUCUGAAGGCUAAAAAUUAUUAUAUUUUAGGACGGAGGGAGUAUACUAGUAGCAGCUUCCAUUUUUCCAUCGGGAAAAAGCUAGUUAGCUUACGCACCGAGUGACAUAUACCACGGCAUCAGUCGCAGUCUGCUACUUCUUUCUCUGCUCCGCAACAAAAAUUUCUAGUGGCGAUGUGUUAGGGGAUGUGAUGUCUGACUAUUGUUCUAUACACCCUGCUAGCGUACGUGUAAUCAUAGCAGCCCGCUGUUUCCAUAACAAUUAAAUAGAUACUAUAUUAAAAGAAAUUGGUAAUGAUGAUAUAAGUAUGUAAAAAAACAUACAAGACGAUCGAUACGACUAGAGAGAAAAACAAAUAAUCGUGCAACGAAUACUACAUAUGCAGUUCAAAUAAAAAAUAUUAUAUUUAUAUCUAGUGCUGUUCAGAUUAAUGCCAUUUUAAAUCAUAUAUCAUUUUUUUUAAAAUGUCAAAUUUGUGCACCAUUUAGUUUUUUUUUACCAAACUAUGCUAAAUACAUAAGAAAUCCUGCUAAAACUUGGUAAUAUUGUUAAAUUGUCAAAAUUUUGACACCGCCAAAAUUUAAAAUUUGGUAAGAUUUAAAUUAACUAUAAUCUAAACAUACCAUUUAUAUAGAAUUUGGAAUUACAAGUUGGCUUAUAUCAAUUUUAAUCCAUCUUGUUAAAUUUUAUAAAAAAAAUAAUAAUAAGUUACUCCCUCCAUUUCAGAUUAUAAGACGUUUUAACUUUGGUUAAAGUCAAACUGCUUAAAGUUUAACUAAAUUUAUAGAAAAAAAAUAUUUUCAACCCAACACAAAUUUAUUAUAAAAAUAUAUUCAAUUAUUGAUUUAAUAAAACUAAUUUGAUAUUAUAAAUAUUAUUAUAUUUGUGUAUAAAUAUCUACUGAAGGAGUACUUGGUAGACCGCAUGCGGUACUUUCUGGUAUAAUGAAUGCACAUUGGUCCGGCAGCUAGCGAUCGAGCUGUGCUAGUGCUACCGCUACUAGGAGGCGACUCUGCGCCAGCUGUCAUGGUCGACGCCAUGUCCGGCGGCGUCCUCGUCGCGCUCAUGGUGUUGCUGCUGGUGGCUGCGCCUGCGCUGCUCUCGCGGCUGGAGCGGCGCCGGCGGCCGCCGCCGGGGCCCGUGGCGCUGCCGGUCGUGGGACACCUGCACCUCCUGCGGAGGCCGCUGCACCGCACCCUGGCGCGGCUCGCGGCUCGCCAUGGCGCCGCCGCCGUGAUGGGCCUGCGGUUCGGGUCCCGCCGCGUCGCCGUCGUGUCGUCGGCGCCGGCUGCCGAGGAGUGCCUCGGCCCGCACGACCUCGCGUUCGCCGACAAGCCGCGGCUGCCGUCCGGGGAGAUCCUGUCGUACGAGUGGUCCACCAUGGGCACCGCCAGCUACGGUCCGUACUGGCGCCACAUCCGCCGCAUCACCGUCACCGAGCUGCUCUCCGCGCACCGGGUGCAGCACUUCGCCGGCGUCAACGCCCGCGAGGUGCGCGCCAUGGCGCGCCGUCUCUACCGGCGGGCGGCCGCCGCCGCCGCCUCCGCGGGUGGAGCUCAAGUCGCGGCUGUUCGAGCUGUUCAUGAACAUCAUGAUGGCCAUGAUCUGCGACAGGACCUUCUACGGCGACGGCGACGACGAGGUGAGCGAGGAGGCGCGGUGGUUCAGGUCGGUGGUGAAGGAGACGAUGGAGCUGAGCGGCGCGUCGACGGCGUGGGACUUCCUGCCGGCGGCGGCGCGCUGGCUGUUCGCGCGCAGGUUGACGCGGCGGAUGCGGGAGCUGUCAGACAGCCGGACGAGGUUCUACCAGCGGCUGAUCACCGACCACAGGACGAAGGAGAAGACGGACGACGACAACGCCGCCGCCGGCGACCACUCUCCGGCGCCGAGGCGGCGAACCAUGAUCGGCGUGCUCCUCUCCCUGCAGAGCAAGGACCCCGACGCGUGCCCCGACCAGCUCAUCCGCGCCCUCUGCAUCGUGAGUAUACCAACCAGCUGCAUGCCGCGACGUUUGCUCCUCUAACGGACGAACACCUGUGCGUUCUUCUUCUUCUUCUUCUCCGGCCAGGGAUCCCUGCAAGCCGGGACGGAGACGUCGGCGGCGGUGGUGGAGUGGGCGAUGUCGCUGCUGCUGAACAACCCCGGCGCGAUGGCGAGGGCUCGCGGCGAGAUCGACGCGUGCGUGGGGCAGCCGGCGGCGCGGCUGCUGGAGGCGGCCGACCUCCCCAAGCUGCACUACCUCCGGUGCGUCGUGAUGGAGACGCUCCGGCUGUACCCGCCGGUGCCGCUCCUCGCGCACGAGUCGUCCGCCGACUGCGACGUCGCCGGCUUCCACG